rnacentral:rRNA from 1 species
GGUUAAGCGACUAAGCGUACACGGUGGAUGCCCUGGCAGUCAGAGGCGAUGAAGGACGUGCUAAUCUGCGAAAAGCGUCGGUAAGGUGAUAUGAACCGUUAUAACCGGCGAUGUCCGAAUGGGGAAACCCAGUGCAAUUCGUUGCACUAUCGUUAACUGAAUACAUAGGUUAACGAGGCGAACCGGGGGAACUGAAACAUCUAAGUACCCCGAGGAAAAGAAAUCAACCGAGAUUCCCCCAGUAGCGGCGAGCGAACGGGGAGCAGCCCAGAGUCUGAAUCAGCUUGUGUGUUAGUGGAACGGUCUGGAAAGUCCGACGGUACAGGGUGAUAGUCCCGUACACCAAAAUGCACAGGCUGUGAACUCGAAGAGUAGGGCGGGACACGUGGUAUCCUGUCUGAAUAUGGGGGACCAUCCUCCAAGGCUAAAUACUCCUGACUGACCGAUAGUAAACCAGUACCGUGAGGGAAAGGCGAAAAGAACCCCGGCGAGGGGAGUGAAAAAGAACCUGAAACCGUGUACGUACAAGCAGUGGGAGCACCUUCGGGUGUGACUGCGUACCUUUUGUAUAAUGGGUCAGCGACUUAUAUUCUGUAGCAAGGUUAACCGUAUAGGGGAGCCGCAGGGAAACCGAGUCUUAACUGGGCGUUAAGUUGCAGGGUAUAGACCCGAAACCCGGUGAUCUAGCCAUGGGCAGGUUGAAGGUUGGGUAACACUAACUGGAGGACCGAACCGACUAAUGUUGAAAAAUUAGCGGAUGACUUGUGGCUGGGGGUGAAAGGCCAAUCAAACCGGGAGAUAGCUGGUUCUCCCCGAAAGCUAUUUAGGUAGCGCCUCGUGAAUUCAUCUUCGGGGGUAGAGCACUGUUUCGGCUAGGGGGUCAUCCCGACUUACCAACCCGAUGCAAACUACGAAUACCGAAGAAUGUUAUCACGGGAGACACACGGCGGGUGCUAACGUCCGUCGUGAAGAGGGAAACAACCCAGACCGCCAGCUAAGGUCCCAAAGUCAUGGUUAAGUGGGAAACGAUGUGGGAAGGCACAGACAGCCAGGAUGUUGGCUUAGAAGCAGCCAUCAUUUAAAGAAAGCGUAAUAGCUCACUGGUCGAGUCGGCCUGCGCGGAAGAUGUAACGGGGCUAAACCAUGCACCGAAGCUGCGGCAGCGACACUAUGUGUUGUUGGGUAGGGGAGCGUUCUGUAAGCCUGCGAAGGUGACCUGUGAGGGUUGCUGGAGGUAUCAGAAGUGCGAAUGCUGACAUAAGUAACGAUAAAGCGGGUGAAAAGCCCGCUCGCCGGAAGACCAAGGGUUCCUGUCCAACGUUAAUCGGGGCAGGGUGAGUCGACCCCUAAGGCGAGGCCGAAAGGCGUAGUCGAUGGGAAACAGGUUAAUAUUCCUGUACUUGGUGUUACUGCGAAGGGGGGACGGAGAAGGCUAUGUUAGCCGGGCGACGGUUGUCCCGGUUUAAGCAUGUAGGCUGGUUGUCCAGGCAAAUCCGGAUAAUCAAGGCUGAGGUGUGAUGACGAGGCACUACGGUGCUGAAGUAACAAAUGCCCUGCUUCCAGGAAAAGCCUCUAAGCAUCAGGUAACAUUAAAUCGUACCCCAAACCGACACAGGUGGUCAGGUAGAGAAUACCAAGGCGCUUGAGAGAACUCGGGUGAAGGAACUAGGCAAAAUGGUGCCGUAACUUCGGGAGAAGGCACGCUGGUGUGUAGGUGAAGUCCCUGCGGAUGGAGCUGAGACCAGUCGAAGAUACCAGCUGGCUGCAACUGUUUAUUAAAAACACAGCACUGUGCAAACACGAAAGUGGACGUAUACGGUGUGACGCCUGCCCGGUGCCGGAAGGUUAAUUGAUGGGGUUAUCCGUAAGGAGAAGCUCUUGAUCGAAGCCCCGGUAAACGGCGGCCGUAACUAUAACGGUCCUAAGGUAGCGAAAUUCCUUGUCGGGUAAGUUCCGACCUGCACGAAUGGCGUAAUGAUGGCCAGGCUGUCUCCACCCGAGACUCAGUGAAAUUGAACUCGCUGUGAAGAUGCAGUGUACCCGCGGCAAGACGGAAAGACCCCGUGAACCUUUACUAUAGCUUGACACUGAACAUUGAGCCUUGAUGUGUAGGAUAGGUGGGAGGCUUUGAAGCGUGGACGCCAGUCUGCGUGGAGCCAACCUUGAAAUACCACCCUUUAAUGUUUGAUGUUCUAACGUUGGCCCCUGACCGGGGUUGCGGACAGUGUCUGGUGGGUAGUUUGACUGGGGCGGUCUCCUCCCAAAGCGUAACGGAGGAGCACGAAGGUUAGCUAAUCCUGGUCGGACAUCAGGAGGUUAGUGCAAUGGCAUAAGCUAGCUUGACUGCGAGCGUGACGGCGCGAGCAGGUGCGAAAGCAGGUCAUAGUGAUCCGGUGGUUCUGAAUGGAAGGGCCAUCGCUCAACGGAUAAAAGGUACUCCGGGGAUAACAGGCUGAUACCGCCCAAGAGUUCAUAUCGACGGCGGUGUUUGGCACCUCGAUGUCGGCUCAUCACAUCCUGGGGCUGAAGUAGGUCCCAAGGGUAUGGCUGUUCGCCAUUUAAAGUGGUACGCGAGCUGGGUUUAGAACGUCGUGAGACAGUUCGGUCCCUAUCUGCCGUGGGCGCUGGAGAAUUGAGGGGGGCUGCUCCUAGUACGAGAGGACCGGAGUGGACGCAUCACUGGUGUUCGGGUUGUCAUGCCAAUGGCACUGCCCGGUAGCUAAAUGCGGAAGAGAUAAGUGCUGAAAGCAUCUAAGCACGAAACUUGCCCCGAGAUGAGUUCUCCCUGAGACUUUAAGUCUCCUGAAGGAACGUUGAAGACGACGACGUUGAUAGGCCGGGUGUGUAAGCGCAGCGAUGCGUUGAGCUAACCGGUACUAAUGAACCGUGAGGCUUAACCUU